UUGAUGUAACAAUGAAUGACUCCCUCAUCCUAAGUCCUCUUUCCCAGUAUUUGAAGUGUCAGACAUACCUGGCUUCUCUUCUAGGCCACUACAGUGAGUCAGGUUUAUUUUGGUGGUUGAAUGAUACCUGGGAGUUGGAACAGUGAAAAGACCCUGAGCACAUAUUCAGCCUUGGUGUCCGUCUCCUCCUCACGGCCUCUUCUCCGUCUCAGAAGCAUAAUCCUUAUUUCAGAUCCACAUGAGUUCCCUCAAACCAGAGAUGCCCAACCAAAGUCUUCCCGGUGCUUUGAGAUGUGGAGAAAAAUGAAUCCUCCUGAUCACAGAUGCAAGUUACAGACCUUGUGCACAAGCUUUUGGGGCCACAGAGCUGUCACAUGUAUCACAGGAUAGAGGUCAUCACAGGUGAAGGUGACUGGGGGUCAGAGGGCUCAGGGCUUCGUACAAGGUCAAGUUAACUAGUGAGCAGUGGGAAUUCAGAAAU